UACGUAGGGGGCAAGCGUUGUCCGGAAUCAUUGGGCGUAAAGCGCGUGUAGGCGGUUCGGUAAGUCGGCUGUGAAAGUCCAGGGCUCAACCCUGGGAUGCCGGUCGAUACUGCCGGACUAGAGUUCGGAAGAGGCGAGUGGAAUUCCCCGGUGUAGCGGUGAAAUGCGCAGAUAUCGGGAGGAACACCUAUGGCGAAGGCAGCUCGCUGGGACGUUACUGACGCUGAGACGCGAAAGCGUGGGGAGCGAACAGG
rnacentral:rRNA from 1 species